rnacentral:lncRNA from 1 species
UUAUAAAAAAAAUCUUUCACACAUAAAUCGGUCACUGACUCUGCAAAAAUAAAUUCUUCCAUAGCAUUAUAAAAACUAAGAUGUAUAACCAAUGCUGCUUUUCUAUAUUUACAAAUAUAAAUUUUUUGAUUCCUUCAAUCUGUCAGCAAAAUAACUUAGUGACUCUAAAUGGGUGUCUGCUUUCUGAUAUUCCAUGAUAACUUUCUGAAAUGGAUUAAUUGUUCUGGAGGAUCUAAAACUUUCCUGUCUUUUUUUCUUUCCUUUUUUUUUUCUUUAAAGAACUCUUAUCCCCUGUAGCUAGGGAAAGCAUCCAAAUUCUUGUUGGCUAGAUCUCUUACUGGUUCUUCCUUUUCUUGACACCAGUCUUGAAGAUUUAUACUGUCAAUAAAAUGUUAUGUUGCAAGUAGUCUGAGCAGCCUCUGAUGCUUUUCAAUAGAAUUGGUCAGCUUUGAGUGAAACAGAACAUGAGAUACCAACAGGCUUAAAUUAAGCUUUCUAAAAGGUGCUCUAUUUUGUUUGGCAUUGCUUAUGCACUCAUCUGCUAGCAUUAGGCACAGUAAACUAAGGAGUCCUGCAAAGAUGGCUGGAAUAUUAGGUUGGUACAUGAUAUGCAGGGUGCAUUGCCACAUGAAGAUCUGUUCAGAACUAUGCAUGGAAUAAUCAAAUUUGUUCCAGACAUAAGGAAAGCAGAAAACUGGUUAUGUUUAAUGUUUCAGUUUGCAUUCAGGUGAGUUUUUCAGACUACGCAUAAAUAUUUUUUUCCUGUCACUUCUGGAAGAUGGGAGAAUAGUUAGUCCCUUCUAUCCUUACUUCUUGUAAACAGAGGAUUAUAAAGUAUGCACACUUCAUGAGAGAGCUCAUUUUCAGGAUUCAGAUAAUCUCAGAGGAUUGUUCAGUGCAUAAAAGUUGUUACAAGCUCUCUAAAUUGUGAUAGAGCUGGAAGAAAUAGGCACACAUUGCAGUUAGUGGGAGCUGAGCCUUUUUUCCCACAACCAAAAGCUUCCAAUUUUCUCAAGCCAGCAAUAGCAGUUGCCAAUACACAAAACUGUGUUUUGAAAAUACAUUUCUUCUGCAACAAAGAACUCUCAUUAGUCCUUGCAACCUGGCCACCAGAACUGAUGUUCCUGGUCCCUGCUGAUGCUAUUGUGAUCCUUGCAAGAAGACUGAUGUCACCACCAGCCGCUGGGACUCCAGGGUGUGUGAACCUGAGGGUGAGGGAGCCUUUGCAUGCCAGGUGUGCCUUGAUGUCCCUGGAUCUGUGGUGCUUUCCUUUUUUCAGUAGCACUGAACUGCCAAACAACAAACUCUUCUAA